CCUACGGGUGGCAGCAGUGAGGAAUAUUGGUCAAUGGGCGCUAGCCUGAACCAGCCAAGUAGCGUGAAGGAUGACUGCCCUAUGGGUUGUAAACUUCUUUUAUAUGGGAGUAAAGUUCAGUAUGUAUACUGCGUUGCAUGUACCUUAUGAAUAAGGAUCGGCUAACUCCGUGCCAGCAGCCGCGGUAAUACGGAGGAUCCGAGCGUUAUCCGGAUUUAUUGGGUUUAAAGGGUGCGUAGGCGGGUUGUUAAGUCAGUGGUGAAAUUUUGCGGCUCAACCGUGAAACUGCAUUUGAUACUGGCAUCCUUGAGUACAGUUGAGGUAGGCGGAAUGCGUGGUGUAGCGGUGAAAUGCUUAGAGAUCACGCAGAACUCCGAUUGCGAAGGCAGCUUGCUGGACUAUAACUGACGCUGAUGCACGAAAGUGUGGGUAGCAAACAGGAUUAGAUACCCCAGUAGUC
rnacentral:rRNA from 1 species